CCGCAUGGGAAGUACGCUCGCAAGAGGGAAAAUCAAAGGAAUUGAAGGGGACCCGCAAAAGUAGCGGAGCAUGGGGUUUAAUGCGAAGCAACGCGAAGAACCUUACAUAAGUUUGACAUCCCAAUGACAUCACCUUAAUCGGAGAGUUCCCUUCGGGGACAUUGGUGACAGGUGGUGCAUGGUUGUCGUCAGCUCGUGUCGUGAGAUGUUGGGUUAAGUCCCGCAUCGAGCGCAACCCUUGUCUUUAGUUGCCAUCAUUAAGUUGGGCACUCUAGAGAGACUGCCAGGGAUAACCUGGAGCAAGGUGGGGAUGACGUCAACUCAUCAUUCCCCUUAUGAUUAGGGCUACACACGAGCUACAAUGGGUAGUAC
rnacentral:rRNA from 1 species